rnacentral:rRNA from 1 species
GAAUGCCGGUAUGAGUAGCGAAAAGAAAGGUGAGAAUCCUUUCCACCGAAAGCCUAAGGGUUCCUGGGCAACGAUCGUCGACCCAGGGUAAGUCGGGACCUAAUCCGAGGCGGAGACGCGUAGGAGAUGGACAACAGGUUGAAAAUCCUGUACCGCAGGAGUCUGUUUGAGCGAGGGAGUGACACAGAAAGGAAUGCGCGCGUGCGAUUGGAAGAGCACGUCCAAGCUGGUAGGUUGUGUGGCAGGCAAAUCCGCCAUACUGAAAGCCGAGAAGUGAUGGGGAGCCAUUGGAGACAAUGGCGAAGGGGCAGGAACUAGGCUGUCGAGAAAAGCUUCUAGUGAGGACUCAGGCGCCCGUACCGAAACCGACACAGGUAGGCAGGAAGAGAAUUCUAAGGUGCGCGGGAAAACCCUCGUUAAGGAACUCGGCAAAAUGUAUCCGUAACUUCGGGAAAAGGAUAGCCUAAAGUAUGUGAGCUGCAGAAACGCAGGGAGCAGGAAUAGGCGGCAGAAGAGAGGCCCAAGCGACUGUUUACCACAAACACAGGCGUCUGCUAAAGCGAAAGCUGACGUAUAGAUGCUGACACCUGCCCGGUGCUGGAAGGUUAAGAGGACGUGUUAGCCAUAAGGCGAAGCAGAGAAUUGAAGCCCCAGUAAACGGCGGCCGUAACUAUAACGGUCCUAAGGUAGCGAAAUUCCUUGUCGGGUAAGUUCCGACCCGCACGAAAGGUGUAACGAUUUGGGCACUGUCUCAACGAGGGACCCGGUGAAAUUGAAAUACCUGUGAAGAUGCAGGUUACCCGCGACUGGACAGAAAGACCCCAUGGAGCUUUACUGUAACCUGACAUUGGGUUUUGUUGUAUUACGUACAGGAUAGGUGGGAGGCUUAGAAGGCUGGACGCUAGUCUGGCUGGAGCCGGCGUUGGGAUACCACCCUUGAUACAACGGAAUUCUAACCGAGAGAGUAACGAAAUCCGGGACAGUGUCAGGCGGGCAGUUUGACUGGGGCGGUCGCCUCCGAAAGAGUAACGGAGGCGCCCAAAGGUUCCCUCAGCGCGGCCGGAAAUCGCGCGAAGAGUGUAAAGGCAGAAGGGAGCUUGACUGCGAGCCAAACACGGCGAGCAGGUACGAAAGUAGGGCUUAGUGAUCCGGUGGUACCGAGUGGAAGGGCCAUCGCUCAACGGAUAAAAGCUACCCUGGGGAUAACAGGCUAAUCUCUCCCAAGAGUCCAUAUCGACGGGGAGGUUUGGCACCUCGAUGUCGGCUCAUCACAUCCUGGGGCUGAAGUCGGUCCCAAGGGUUGGGCUGUUCGCCCAUUAAAGUGGUACGUGAGCUGGGUUCAGAACGUCGUGAGACAGUUCGGUCCCUAUCCAUCGCGGGCGCAAGAGAUUUGAAGGGGUCUGCUCCUAGUACGAGAGGACCGGAGUGGACGGACCGCUGGUGUACCAGUUAUUCCGCCAGGAGUACAGCUGGGUAGCUACGUCCGGACUGGAUAAACGCUGAAAGCAUCUAAGCGUGAAGCCAUCCUUAAGAUGAGAUCUCUCACAGAGUAAUCUGGU